UGGGGAAUAUUGGGCAAUGGGCGAAAGCCUGACCCAGCGACGCCGCGUGGGUGAUGAAGGCCUUCGGGUUGUAAAGCCCUUUCGUGCGGAAAGAACAGUCCUGUGGUUAAUACCCACGGGAUUUGACGGUACCGCAGGAAGAAGCACCGGCUAACUCCGUGCCAGCAGCCGCGGUAAUACGGAGGGUGCAAGCGUUGUUCGGAAUUAUUGGGCGUAAAGGACGCGUAGGCGGUAGUGAUAGUCAGAUGUGAAAUCCUUCGGCUCAACUGAAGAACUGCAUCUGAAACUUCACAACUCGAGUACAGGAGAGGGAAACGGAAUUCCCGGUGUAGAGGUGAAAUUCGUAGAUAUCGGGAGGAACACCAGUGGCGAAGGCGGUUUCCUGGCCUGAUACUGACGCUGAGGCGUGAAAGCGUGGGGAGCAAACAGG
rnacentral:rRNA from 1 species